AACGAACGCUGGCGGCAUGCCUAACACAUGCAAGUCGAACGGCACCUCCAGGUCUAUUGGCGCACGGGUGGGGAAUGGCGGGGGAGUGACCUUUGGGUUGGGAUCAACUCAGUUGAAUUUGAGCUCAUACCGGAAGAGGUCCUAGUACCAAAGAUUUCCUGCGAUUAGAUGGGGGCGAGCUGGUUUCGUUGGUUGGUAGGGUAAGGGCCUACCAAGGCGACGAUCCAGAGCUGGUGGGUGAGGAUGAUCCGCCACACUGGGACUGAGACACGGCCCAGACUCCUACGCAAGGCAGCAGUGGGGAAUAUAGGACGAUGGGCGAUGGCCUGAUCCAGCAAUGCCGGGUAAGUGAUGAAGGCCUUAGGGUUGUAAAGCCCUUUUACCCGAGAUGAUAAUGACGGUAUCGGGAGAAUAAGCACCGGCUAACUCCGUG
rnacentral:rRNA from 1 species